rnacentral:rRNA from 1 species
AGGGGCAGCGGGGAAAAGCUUGCUUUUCCGCCGGCGACCGGCGCACGGGUGCGGAACGCGUAUGGAACCUGCCCCUGUCAGGGGAAUAGCCCAGGGAAACUUGGAUUAAUGCCCCAUGGUACCGUUAUAUCGCAUGAUAUUACGGUUAAAGAUUUAUCGGAANGGGNAGGGCCAUGCGUACCAUUAGUUAGUUGGUGAGGUAACGGCUCACCAAGGCAGCGAUGGUUAGGGGCCCUGAGAGGGGGAUCCCCCACACUGGUACUGAGACACGGACCAGACUCCUACGGGAGGCAGCAGUGAGGAAUAUUGGACAAUGGGCGGGAGCCUGAUCCAGCCAUGCCGCGUGCAGGAUGACGGCCCUAUGGGUUGUAAACUGCUUUUAUACGGGAAGAAACGCGCCCACGUGUGGGCGUUUGACGGUACCGUAAGAAUAAGGACCGGCUAACUCCGUGCCAGCAGCCGCGGUAAUACGGAGGGUCCGAGCGUUAUCCGGAAUCAUUGGGUUUAAAGGGUCCGUAGGCGGGCCUGUAAGUCAGGGGUGAAAGUUUGUGGCUCAACCAUAAAAUUGCCUUUGAUACUGCAGGUCUUGAGUCAUGGUGGGGUUGCCGGAACAUGUGGUGUAGCGGUGAAAUGCAUAGAUAUCACAUAGAACACCGAUCGCGAANGCAGGUGACCAACCAUGUACUGACGCUNAUGGACGAAAGCGUGGGUAGCGAACGGGAUUAGAUACCCCGGUAGUCCACGCCGUNNNNAUGGAUAC